UUAAGCGACUAAGCGUACACGGUGGAUGCCCUGGCAGUCAGAGGCGAUGAAGGACGUGCUAAUCUGCGAUAAGCGUCGGUAAGGUGAUAUGAACCGUUAUAACCGGCGAUUUCCGAAUGGGGAAACCCAGUGUGUUUCGACACACUAUCAUUAACUGAAUCCAUAGGUUAAUGAGGCGAACCGGGGGAACUGAAACAUCUAAGUACCCCGAGGAAAAGAAAUCAACCGAGAUUCCCCCAGUAGCGGCGAGCGAACGGGGAGCAGCCCAGAGCCUGAAUCAGUGUGUGUGUUAGUGGAAGCGUCUGGAAAGGCGCGCGAUACAGGGUGACAGCCCCGUACACAAAAAUGCACAUGCUGUGAGCUCGAUGAGUAGGGCGGGACACGUGGUAUCCUGUCUGAAUAUGGGGGGACCAUCCUCCAAGGCUAAAUACUCCUGACUGACCGAUAGUGAACCAGUACCGUGAGGGAAAGGCGAAAAGAACCCCGGCGAGGGGAGUGAAAAAGAACCUGAAACCGUGUACGUACAAGCAGUGGGAGCACAGAGCAAUCUGUGUGACUGCGUACCUUUUGUAUAAUGGGUCAGCGACUUAUAUUCUGUAGCAAGGUUAACCGAAUAGGGGAGCCGAAGGGAAACCGAGUCUUAACUGGGCGUUAAGUUGCAGGGUAUAGACCCGAAACCCGGUGAUCUAGCCAUGGGCAGGUUGAAGGUUGGGUAACACUAACUGGAGGACCGAACCGACUAAUGUUGAAAAAUUAGCGGAUGACUUGUGGCUGGGGGUGAAAGGCCAAUCAAACCGGGAGAUAGCUGGUUCUCCCCGAAAGCUAUUUAGGUAGCGCCUCGUGAAUUCAUCUCCGGGGGUAGAGCACUGUUUCGGCAAGGGGGUCAUCCCGACUUACCAACCCGAUGCAAACUGCGAAUACCGGAGAAUGUUAUCACGGGAGACACACGGCGGGUGCUAACGUCCGUCGUGAAGAGGGAAACAACCCAGACCGCCAGCUAAGGUCCCAAAGUCAUGGUUAAGUGGGAAACGAUGUGGGAAGGCCCAGACAGCCAGGAUGUUGGCUUAGAAGCAGCCAUCAUUUAAAGAAAGCGUAAUAGCUCACUGGUCGAGUCGGCCUGCGCGGAAGAUGUAACGGGGCUAAACCAUGCACCGAAGCUGCGGCAGCGACGCUKAUGYGUUGUUGGGUAGGGGAGCGUUCUGUAAGCCUGYGAAGGUGURCUGUGAGGYAYGCUGGAGGUAUCAGAAGUGCGAAUGCUGACAUAAGUAACGAUAAAGCRGGUGAAAAGCCCGCUCGCCGGAAGACCAAGGGUUCCUGUCCAACGUUAAUCGGGGCAGGGUGAGUCGACCCCUAAGGCGAGGCCGAAAGGCGUAGUCGAUGGGAAACAGGUUAAUAUUCCUGUACUUGGUGUUACUGCGAAGGGGGGACGGAGAAGGCUAUGUUGGCCGGGCGACGGUUGUCCCGGUUUAAGCGUGUAGGCUGGUUUUCCAGGCAAAUCCGGAAAAUCAAGGCUGAGGCGUGAUGACGAGGCACUACGGUGCUGAAGCAACAAAUGCCCUGCUUCCAGGAAAAGCCUCUAAGCAUCAGGUAACAUCAAAUCGUACCCCAAACCGACACAGGUGGUCAGGUAGAGAAUACCAAGGCGCUUGAGAGAACUCGGGUGAAGGAACUAGGCAAAAUGGUGCCGUAACUUCGGGAGAAGGCACGCUGAUAUGUAGGUGAAGUCCCUCGCGGAUGGAGCUGAAAUCAGUCGAAGAUACCAGCUGGCUGCAACUGUUUAUUAAAAACACAGCACUGUGCAAACACGAAAGUGGACGUAUACGGUGUGACGCCUGCCCGGUGCCGGAAGGUUAAUUGAUGGGGUUAGCGCAAGCGAAGCUCUUGAUCGAAGCCCCGGUAAACGGCGGCCGUAACUAUAACGGUCCUAAGGUAGCGAAAUUCCUUGUCGGGUAAGUUCCGACCUGCACGAAUGGCGUAAUGAUGGCCAGGCUGUCUCCACCCGAGACUCAGUGAAAUUGAACUCGCUGUGAAGAUGCAGUGUACCCGCGGCAAGACGGAAAGACCCCGUGAACCUUUACUAUAGCUUGACACUGAACAUUGAGCCUUGAUGUGUAGGAUAGGUGGGAGGCUUUGAAGUGUGGACGCCAGUCUGCAUGGAGCCGRCCUUGAAAUACCACCCUUUAAUGUUUGAUGUUCUAACGUKGACCCGURAUCCGGGUUGCGGACAGUGUCUGGUGGGUAGUUUGACUGGGGCGGUCUCCUCCUAAAGAGUAACGGAGGAGCACGAAGGUUGGCUAAUCCUGGUCGGACAUCAGGAGGUUAGUGCAAUGGCAUAAGCCAGCUUGACUGCGAGCGUGACGGCGCGAGCAGGUGCGAAAGCAGGUCAUAGUGAUCCGGUGGUUCUGAAUGGAAGGGCCAUCGCUCAACGGAUAAAAGGUACUCCGGGGAUAACAGGCUGAUACCGCCCAAGAGUUCAUAUCGACGGCGGUGUUUGGCACCUCGAUGUCGGCUCAUCACAUCCUGGGGCUGAAGUAGGUCCCAAGGGUAUGGCUGUUCGCCAUUUAAAGUGGUACGCGAGCUGGGUUUAGAACGUCGUGAGACAGUUCGGUCCCUAUCUGCCGUGGGCGCUGGAGAACUGAGGGGGGCUGCUCCUAGUACGAGAGGACCGGAGUGGACGCAUCACUGGUGUUCGGGUUGUCAUGCCAAUGGCACUGCCCGGUAGCUAAAUGCGGAAGAGAUAAGUGCUGAAAGCAUCUAAGCACGAAACUUGCCCCGAGAUGAGUUCUCCCUGACUCCUUGAGAGUCCUGAAGGAACGUUGAAGACGACGACGUUGAUAGGCCGGGUGUGUAAGCGCAGCGAUGCGUUGAGCUAACCGGUACUAAUGAACCGUGAGGCUUAACCUU
rnacentral:rRNA from 1 species